rnacentral:rRNA from 1 species
CGGCAGCACGGAGAGCUUGCUCUCUGGUGGCGAGUGGCGAACGGGUGAGUAAUAUAUCGGAACGUGUCCAAUAAUGGGGGAUAACGAGUCGAAAGAUUCGCUAAUACCGCAUACGCCCUACGGGGGAAAGCAGGGGAUCGUAAGACCUUGCGUUAAUGGAGCGGCCGAUAUCUGAUUAGCUUGUUGGUGAGGUAAAGGCUCACCAAGGCGACGAUCAGUAGCUGGUUUGAGAGAACGACCAGCCACACUGGAACUGAGACACGGUCCAGACUCCUACGGGAGGCAGCAGUGGGGAAUUUUGGACAAUGGGGGCAACCCUGAUCCAGCCAUUCCGCGUGAGUGAAGAAGGCCUUCGGGUUGUAAAGCUCUUUCGCAAGGGAAGAAAACUUAUGAUCGAAUAAAUCAUGAGGUUGACGGUACCUUGAUAAGAAGCACCGGCUAACUACGUGCCAGCAGCCGCGGUAAUACGUAGGGUGCGAGCGUUAAUCGGAAUUACUGGGCGUAAAGCGUGCGCAGGCGGUUUUGUAAGUCGGAUGUGAAAUCCCCGGGCUCAACCUGGGAACUGCGUUCGAAACUGCAAGGCUAGAGUGUGUCAGAGGGGGGUAGAAUUCCACGUGUAGCAGUGAAAUGCGUAGAGAUGUGGAGGAAUACCAAUGGCGAAGGCAGCCCCCUGGGAUAACACUGACGCUCAUGCACGAAAGCGUGGGGAGCAAACAGGAUUAGAUA